rnacentral:tRNA from 1 species
GGGCAGUUAGCUCAAUUGGCAGAGCAUCCCUUUGACGUGGGGAAGGUUAAAAGUUCGAGUCUUUUACUGCCCA